rnacentral:rRNA from 1 species
CCUACGGGAGGCAGCAGUGAGGAAUAUUGGUCAAUGGACGAGAGUCUGAACCAGCCAAGUAGCGUGAAGGAUGACUGCCCUAUGGGUGGUAAACGUCUUUUAUAUGGGAAUAAAACGUUCCACGUGUGGGAUUUUGUAUGUACCAUAUGAAUAAGGAUCGGCUAACUCCGUGACAGCAGCCGCGGUAAUACGGAGUAACCGAGCGUUAUACGGAUUUAUUGGGUUUAAAGGGAGGGGAGGUGGAUUGUUAAGUCAGUUGUGAAAGUUUGCGGUCCAACCGUAAAAUUGCAGUUGAAACUGGCAGUCUUGAGUACAGUAGAGGUGGGCGGAAUUCGUGGUGUAGCGGUGAAAUGCUUAGAUAUUACGAAGAACUCCGAUUGCGUAGGCAGUUCACUGGACUGCAACUGACACUGAGGCUCGAAAGUGUGGGUAUCAAACAGGAUUAGAUACCCCUGUAGUC